AUGUCACGUCACGCCACCAUGUCGGGGGCCAAGAUGAACCAACUCCCGCCUCCGGCCAGCCGGCUCUGGGAGGCGGGCAUCCGCAAGCUCAACACCACCAUGGCCAUCCGCCGCGGCAGCUCCGUCUUCCCCGCCACCAGCCCCGCCCUCGACGGCGACCCCGCAGUCGCCCUCUCCGUCGCCUCCUCCAACACCAUCUACGGCUACGACGUCGUCGAAAACGACGACGAUGCCACGGGCGGCGAUGACAUCGAGGACAACGAGGAAGACAGCGACGAGGAGGAGGCGGGCCCGGAGACCCACUCGGAGCAGCUGCUCCCCAGCGGCGACUUCUACCAGGGCAGCGUGCGCGGCGAUCUCCCGGACGGCUCCGGCAAGUUUUUAUGGACGGACGGCAGCAUGUACGAGGGUUCGUGGCGCCAGGGGCGCGCGUCCGGGCGCGGCAAGUUCUCCUGGGCCUCCGGCGCCACCUACGAGGGCGACCUCGCCGGCGGCUACAUGCACGGCCACGGCACCUACAUCGGCGAGUUCGGGGACACGUUCGCGGGCCACUGGGCCAACAACUUCCGGCACGGGCGCGGCACGCAGGCCUACGCCAACGGCGACGUCUACGACGGGCACUGGCGCGACGGGCGGCAGGAUGGGCACGGGCGGUACAUUUGGCGGUACGGGCACGAGUACAUCGGCACGUGGCGCGCCGGCGAGAUGCACGGGUGCGGCACCGUGAUAUGGGCCGACGGGGACCGGUACGACGGCGCGUGGGAGGACGCCAAGCCCAAGGGGCAGGGCACGUUCCGGUGGGCGGACGGCGGCAUGUACAUCGGCGUGUGGUGCCAGCAGGAGUCCGGCGAGACGAACGCAAUGGGCGGCGUGUUCUACCCGCCGUCCGGCGGGCCGGCCGUGCCGAUGCCGCCGCGGGAGCCGCGGGAGGCGAUCACGAAGCUGCUGGAGGAGCUGGCGGUGACGGAGGGCAAGGCGGCGUCGCUGCUACCAUCGGAGAAGAUCGUGACGUGGCCCGGGGUGGAGGCGGUGCUGAAGAAGCCGGUGUGGCGGCCGCCGGAGCCGGAGCAAAUCCAAGGGAGGAGGUCGAGGAGCAGCGUGUCGUCGAUUGACAUGGACCUCGCCGCCGAGGGGGAGGAGGCCCAGGCGCAGGCGCAGGCGCAGGCCCAUGCCCAGGCGCAGGCCCAGUCCAGCAUGAGCAGCGAGGAGGCCCAGGCCAGGGCGGCGUCCGUGGAAAGGGCGUGGCUGCGGGCGACGUCGUGCAUGCGCGCGCCGCCCAAGCCGGCCAAGAAGCAGGGGGAGACCAUAUCCAAGGGCCACAAGAACUACGAGCUCAUGCUCAACCUCCAGCUUGGCAUCAGGCAUGCCGUGGGGAGGCAUUCGGCGCCCAACUCGCUGGAUCUCAAGUCAUCGGCGUUUGAUCCCAAGGAGAAGGUGUGGACCAGGUUUCCUCCUGAAGGAUCCAAGCACACGCCGCCUCACCAGUCAUGCGAUUUCCGGUGGAAGGACUACUGCCCACUGGUCUUCAGGACCUUGCGCAAGCUCUUUGACGUCGACCCAGCGGACUACAUGAUCUCCAUCUGCGGCGACGACGCGCUUCGGGAACUAUCAUCACCUGGAAAGAGUGGAAGCUUCUUCUACCUCACCAACGAUGACAAGUACAUGAUCAAGACAAUGAAGAAAUCAGAAGUUAAAGUGCUUCUUAGGAUGCUUCCAGCCUAUUAUAAGCAUGUCCGCAAUUUUGAACAUACCCUAGUGACUAAGUUCUUUGGUCUGCACUGCGUUAAAAUCACUGGAGCUAUUCAGAAAAAGGUUCGGUUUGUUAUAAUGGGGAAUCUUUUCUGCUCUCACUAUGGGAUUCAUCGGCGUUUCGAUUUGAAAGGAUCAUCACAAGGUCGCAUGACUGACAAGCCCCUUGAUCAAAUCGAUGAGCACACCACUUUGAAGGAUCUUGAUCUCAACUUCAUUUUCCGGUUAGGGGGAUCUUGGUUCCAGGAGUUUUGCAGGCAAGUGGACAAAGAUUGUGAGUUACUAGAGCAGGAGAGGAUCAUGGACUAUAGUCUUUUGGUUGGCAUUCACUUCAAUGAUCGAUUUAACGGCAAUGCUGACAACGGUGGUGCUGAAGAUUCUGAGCAAAAUAAGAAAUUAUCAGCGAAACUGGGGAUCGCCAUGCAGUCGAGGGUGGAGAACGUUGUGCGGAACCCCGAGAGCGAGUCGCCGCUCAUUGGUGAUCCCACGGGAGAAUUUCGGGAGGUGGUCCUCUUCUUCGGCAUCAUCGACAUCCUGCAAGACUACGACAUCAGCAAGAAGCUGGAGCACGCCUACAAAUCUCAGCUGUAUGAUCCCAACUCCAUAUCGGCCGUCGACCCCAAGCAGUACUGCAAGAGGUUCAGGGACUUCAUCUACAGGGCCUUCACUGAAGACGUGCAGUGA
rnacentral:rRNA from 1 species